AGAUCCGUGAUCUGGAUUUUGGUGAGCCAUGCGGUGGCUGCUGUGCUGUUCCUUAAGCUAAAGGAGAAGAGGACGGUAAACCUGAUUAUUUUCCAGUAGAGUUUCUGCAUGCUCAGAACUGAUCAAAAGAACUUAAUAAUCAACCGAAUCGUUCUGAACUUUUUUUCACAUCAGUGUUUCUUAGGAAGUGGUAAGAUUGUGGUGGUAUGUGGCUGAGCCUUAAAUGCUCUAGGAGAGCAGCCUAAAGGUCUGGCCUCCUCUGGCCCUGGCAGGCAGGUGAUGUGCAUGUAGCUGGCUGAGGAUCCCAGCUUGGUGAGCAUUUCAGGAAGAGAGGCAGCCAGCGCUGCACAUGGCCACUCACUUCCUCGUCCUGCUCCAUCCUCAUCACCCUUCCUCUCAGCAUGUGAGGAACACGGGAAAGGACUUUGCUGGGCUUGUGCUUCUUGCUCUGUGGUGGAUUUUCCACUGAACACAGUUGGAAAUUCAGGAUGAGCUGUCGAGAAGAAGUGUCGAGUGUCUAAAAGUUGACAACACGGAGGCACGUUUGGCUGGGGCUUGAUGGGAGAGGCCCAGUGCUGAGCAUCUUUCUCUUGAAGGGCCUUUGCUGAGCGAUUAAGGGGAAAAGUUUUUCCUUCAGUGCGUUCCUGUUUUUGAUCUUGGCUCCCCGGCCUGUCCAAGGUGGGGAGCAUGAAAGCAGGCCCCUCCCCAGAGCAGGCUCCUCCUCAGCAGACCCAGCGCAGCAGGUGAAAUGGGAACGCCACUGGGCUGGGGUUGGGGUGUUGCUCAUCACUGCUGUCAGGGGCCUGUGGCAGCCUGUGUUGGGAACCAGUUUGGCAUCACUCCAGUGAACCUGCAGGUGUACCCUGUGGUCCUUCACUGUUGCUCCUACUUCCUGACCCUGGAGGAGCUCUCAGCACAGGUGCCGGAACCAGGGCAGGGCUGUGGAUGGCUGUGUAGACACCUCGGCUCAGGAUCCAGCAGCCUCUGUGUGUGACCUGAUGAAGCGUCAUUAGCAUGGAAACGGGUUCUUUCCUGGAGGAGGUUAGAGAAUUAUGUGAGUCUAUGAGUAUUUAUUUAUUUUGGCCACACCAUCGCCACAUGGGAGUUUCUGCUCUUUGGCAGCAACCAGAGCCACUGCCUUGACAUCACCAGGUUCUUAACCCACUGUGCCACAAGGGAACUCCUGUGGGAUUAUUUCAUUACAGAUGUUAUAUCAUGUGUAAACAGGCAAAACAUAAUUUUUUAACAUAAGUCGUCAAAGUUCAAAAGAAGUAAAGCAGCAGCGGUAAAGCACUGGGUUUAAUUUGGGACAGAAGGGGAUGCGAUCAGUGGCUUCCAAGGUAGUGAAACCGAGCAGGGCCCUGUGGGUUUCUGGGCACAAGCCCUUCUGUGUCCCCAUUUCUUGCUUUUAGGGAAUAGGCUUCAUUUGGCCUCCAGGACCUUCCCUGUGUUCCGAGGGGCUGGUUCAGACAGUCGCUAAUCAGAGAAGAGAGGGGAUGCAGAGACCAGAGAGGUACAUUCAGACACAACAGUGCAGCCUCGGGGCAGGGUGCUGGCUUCUCCUCAAGGAAUAUACAUGAUGGUAUGUUUGAGUUCUUCUGCAGAACUGAAGCCACAACAGAGAGGAGGUCCCCCAGAACCAGUCCUACGGUCACCAAGCACCAACUCUGAAGAAGAAUGCCAGCUUGCCUCUACCCUGCUCCUUAUCUGUGGCCCCAACCUGAAAAAAACACUUUCUGUUCCUUCCCCCAGGGGGGCACAGUCUCUGAGGCGUUUGCCUGCUGUGACCUCCUGUGCCUGGCAAAGCAAUAAAGCUGUUCUUUCCUGCUUCGCCCCAAAUUCUGUCCCUGCCUUUCUGUUUUUUUCCGUUCAGCACCCAGGCCAAGCUUCUGUGACAGGAGGUCUCCAUUUGUUGGCCUGGCCAGUUAAUCCCCUUGCGAAGAAGCUGCCGAAAGAGCACCGAGAAUUCCUGUAUGCCCAUCCCGCCCUUGUUCUCAAUGUUAACGUUUGUUGCUCCUCGUGCUCAAAACUUUUCCACCAGUACUGUGAAUCGUGUUUUAAGUAGCUCCUUCUGAGAUUACUCCCCCUGAGGGUAGGGAAAACCGUAAAUUAAGGUCGGUUGUAAUUUGUGUUUUAUUUCCUCAGCAGUUGCCUGGCCACCUGAUUUGGCCUCGCAUUCCAGAAACUGGCCUGGCUGUCGUAGUGAUGGCAGUGACUCCCCUGGGAAACGUGUCGGCGCCCCAGCGUCCGGAGCCUCAGACCGGCAGGGCGUGCUUCCACUUCAGGUCAACCAGAUAUACGAGGAGCUGUUUCAGAUACACCAGAAACUGCAGUGUGAAACUGCAGCACAGCAGGAAUUUGCUGAGGAACUUCACAAGCGGGAACGUUUUCUGGUUGAAAGAGAACAGCUGCUUUUCAGACAUGAAGCUGCCUUGAGUAAAAUUAAAGGCGUCAAAGAAGAGGUUCUUACGAGAUUUCAGAUUAUCAAGGAGCAACAUGAUGCAGAAGUUGAGCACUUAACUGAAGUUGUUAAGGAAAGAAAUAAAGAAAGCAAGAGGCUAAGGUCCUCUUUUGAUGCAUUGAAAGAAUUGAAUGAUAGCUUAAAAAAACAGUUACACGAAGUAAGCGAAGAAAACAGAAAGUUGGAGGUUCAGGCUAAAAGAGUUCAAGCUCGCUUAGAUAACUUACAGAGGAAGUAUGAGUUUAUGACCAUACAGAGAUUGAAAGGAAAUCCCCAUGCUGCUCAGGAAGUAAAGAGCUUAAAACAGGAGAAAGCACCAGUGUCAAAACCUUGUAAGACACCUGGGCUGUUGCUGGUUGUUGUCUAUUAAUGAAUACAUCUGCUAAGGAUAUUUGUGGACAAGGCUUUUUGAGGACACAUGUUUUCCUGCCUCUUGGAAAUGUAACCGAGACUGAAUUUCUGGGUCAUAAGGUACCACUUAACGGACAAGUUUAUGAACUUUUAACGGUCUUCAUGGACUGGAUUUCAGAUCAUCACCUCAGCAAGCUGAAACAUGAAGAUUCUGGAAUGGAUGGUGAGAAGCCACAACUCACAUUUGCUUCUCAGAGAGAUGAUAUUCAGGAGAAGUGUGUGAAGCUUUUACCUGUGAUGACAGAGCAGCUGCAGUGGAUGCCCUUUGUGGGGGCCAAGCUUCACGAGCCUUUUGUCAAGUUCAUAUAUUGGUCUCUGAGGCAGCUCGACGCUGGAGCACAGCAUUCGACUAUGACAUCAACAUUGAGGAGAUUAGGUGAAGAUAUAUUCAAAGGAGUGGUGACUAAAGGAAUUCAGGGUAAUUCUUCAGAACAUUCUGUGGAGAAUAAACCAAAGACAGCUGCUUUCUUUAAGAGCUCCAGUUUACCGUUGAGAUUUCCAUCAACUUUAAUUGUUCUCAAAACAGUCACUCAAGCUGACCACUUGGCUCAGGCGUUUGAUUCCCUUUGUUUGGACUUGAAGACGGAUGAAGGAAAGAUCUUGUUCUUAGAGUAUCAAGCUGUUCCAGUAAUACUGAGCCAUCUAAAGAUUUCCAGCAAAGGACUCCUGUCCAAUGUCAUUGAUAGUCUGCUUCAGAUGACAGUGGAGUCUCGGUCAUCACAUGUGUCUCCAUCCCCGGGAGGAAAGGACCAGCCCAGUUUUGAUUGUCACCCCUGUAGCCUCCCUGUUCCCACCCAGGAGGUUGGGAGGGCACUCAGGCUGCUUACGUGGUGCCUUUUAUAUUCAUCUGUGAGAGUUCUGUGGUCGGUGGGGUUCUUCUCUGGUCUGGCACUGGUGUAACAGGCUCUUCAGCACCUGGUUUGGCCCAGGGUCCCUGCAGCCCUUCCUGGAGGCCUGCAGUACCUCACUCUUCUUCCGAACCUGCUCCAUGCUGCUCCGGGCCCCAAAGCUCGAGCUCCACAUUCUAGAGAAGCUCAGCAUCAUUCUCCAGAAACUGUCCAAAAUCAAGAGUAAUAAGAAGCUCUUUGAACUCUUUACAAUUCAUCUGAUGCUUCAGGAGUUACAGCGGACAACACACCCAGAACAUGCCUUUCUCUGUAUUAACCUUAAUUCAACUCUGUUCAAUUUGGGCUUAACAAAAGGUAACUCCCUGGCCUCCAAUGGAAGCCAUUAGCCUGGCUUUUUCUUAUUUAUAGAUGUUAUGUAUGUUUUGCUACUUGUAAGACUGUAAAAAUCACCAAAGUAACUAAAAGUCUACCAGGUAAAGUUAAGAGUAGCAUCAUUUAUCAUGAAAAGUGACACCCACCUCAGGGCUUCUGCUGCCUGAAGAUGCACGGCCACUCCCUCCACCUGCCAGUGAUGUCGUCAUCCCCAAACACCAAGAAGACGCGAAAGCUCCGUGCAGAGGUCGCACUUGUCCUGUGUACUGCUACAUCCCUGUGUCCAGAGAUUGGUAUUUGCCAAGUGAAAUAAAUCUAUUUCCUAACUUUUCUACAAUGAAUAUAUAAUACUUAGGAAACUAAAAAGAAAUGAGCACAUCAUGACUACAACUGUGAAACACACCUACAUACAUACAUACAUAAGGCUGUAUGCAGACUGUGAACAUCACAUUAAGGUGGAAGUACGAGGGCUGAGGAGUUGUAAAGAAGUUAAAGAAAACGGUAUCACCUUCUUCAGUUAUUAAAACUCCCCCCGCCCCCGCUGUGUUCCCUUAUAGAGGUACAGCUGCAGGAUCCGUGACUAAAAACGUGGGCAUGUGCCUCGGGGGCCACUGCUUUGUCAGGAACAUCAAGUGAAGUCAUCCUUGAUUUCAUCUCUUUCAUGAUAGAAACAUAAGAGUAUCACAGAAUAGAUUGAAAACAGCAGGAAGGGAAGAAAUGUUGCCCAAAUUAAGAAAACUACCAACGAAAAACAAUAGCUACACCAAACGAAAAAACAGAGAUGUGUUCACAACCAAGUGACAAUCCACAGACAAGUGGCGCAGUCCCAGUACUCAGGAGUCUUCUCCGUCUCUAUAAAACCCUCUUCCACAUAGAGAACAGACUUGUUGCCCUGGGGGGCGGGUGCGUUUGGGCUGAGCCGAUGCAUGCUAGUAAACAACAGGGCUGGGCUGUGCUGUAAAGCACAGGGAGCUCUCUCUAUUCAAUGUCCUGUGAUGAGCAAGAAGGAAAAUAAAUUUAAAAGAAUGUAUAGAUGUAUAACUGAAUCACUCUGCUGUACAGCAGAAAUGAACACAACACUGUAAAUCAGCUAUAUUUGAAUAAAAAAUGUCUCACCCGCAUUCACAUUUUAAA